UUAUAUUUUCUACAGUUGAUGUCUGCAAUGCAAACACCACCUGGUCAUGUAGCUACCGGAACACCUACCGUUACAUUUAAUCCAGAAACAUUGAAGUGUUGUGUAUGCUAUGAAAGAGAUCGGUCAGCAUUCCUCAUACCUUGUGGUCAUCUGUACUGUAUGGUUUGUGCCACUCAUCUUGAAUCAACUCAAAUGUCCUGUGCUGUGUGUAGAACCAGUAUCACUGGUGUUGGACACCUUCAUGCCUAAUUUUCUUUAGAGAAAGACAGUGUUGUUAUAUUUUCUGGUCCUUCGGGAUCAUUGAUGCCAACACUAUAAAGUGUUGAGAAUUGAGUACCGCUCAAGCCGGUGCUAGGGGCAUGAGGGAUGUUGCACUUAUUCAUUAUCUCUCAUGUACAGACUCAAUCAAACCGAGUCUGCAAUUCUUAUGUUAUUUUGUUGUGAUUAAUGCUUCCGAGGGAUCACUUAUUUUCCAGAAUUUUGUACUUCACAACAACAGGUGUCAAGUGCCGUGUUGCAGCCGUAAAAAGUUGCCCCGUACUUCACUUCAGUGUUGUUAUAUUUUCUGGUCCUUCGGGAUCAUUGAUGCCAACACUAUAAAGUGUUGAGAAUUGAGUACCGCUCAAGCCGGUGCUAGGGGGCGUGAGGGAUGUUGCACUUAUUCAUUAUCUCUCAUGUACAGACUCAAUCAAACCGAGUCUGCAAUUCUUAUGUUAUUUUGUUGUGAUUAAUGCUUCCGAGGGAUCACUUUGUUUCCAGAAUUUUGACAGAAUCUAUGCCAUUCAUUUAAGAGUUGAAGAACAAUGAAAGAUCUAUUUCUUAUUUUAUAAGCUCACCUGAGGACUGUGUCCUCAGGGUGAGCUUUUGUGAUGGCCAAUUGUCCGUCGUUCAUCGUUCAUGUGUGCGUACAUGCGUCAACAAUUUCUUUAAACAACUUUUCCUCCUCCUAAACCACUUGGCCAAAUUUGUUGAAACUUUGCAAGGAUGUUUCUUGCAUGAAGCUCUUCCAAAGUUGUUAAAAGAAUUAAAUUCCAUAAAGAGCUAGAGCUUAGAUAUUUGGCAAGAAAUAUCUUCAAAUGGAUUGCUACCAAAUGUGUUCAAAUAAAAACCUUAGGGUCAAAAUUGGCCCCACCCUAGGGGUCAUUGAUUUUCCUCAUAUGUAUGUAGUAAAAAACAAAAUCUUCUUUUAAAUAAACCCAAAAUCUAGAGCAUAGAUAUUUAAUAUGAAACAUCUUCUAGUGGUUGUCUACCUAGUUUGUUCAAAUAAAAGCCCUUGGGUCAAAAUUGGCCCAGCCCCAGGGGGGUAAUUGAUUUUCCUUGUAUGUAUAUAGGAAUAGAAACAAAAAUCUUCUAAAAAAAGCCAAAGAGCUAGAUAUUUAGCAUGAAACAUCUUUUAGUGAGUGUCUUUUCUUAGGUUAUUCAAAUGAAAUCCCUUGGGUCAAAAUUGGCCCUGCCCCAGGGGUCAUUGAUAUUUAUUAUAUGUAUAUAGGAAAAACAAACAAAAAAUCUAAGAAAGCCAAAGAGCUGAAGCUAAGAUAUUUGGCAUGAAGCAUCUUAUAGUGCGUGACUAACAAGUUUGUUCAAAAUUAAAGCCCUUGGGUCAUCUAGUGACAUCUUAUGGAACUGUUGUUUUCCCCAGUAAAUUUUUACAAGUGCACUAUCAGAUACAAAUAUGAACUUUGUUAUAUCAGUUUAAGAUUUAGAUUUCAAUUCUGCUUUUGUUUAUAAUUUACAAUGUAAUUUGUUCCUUGUCAUGGAGAGUUUUAUAUUCAGGUGAGUGGUAAGAGGACCAUUAUGGCCCUCUUGUUAUAACUUUCACAUAUAAUUGUAUAUGAAGACUUAAAAAUAUUUUUGCUUAAGUCAACAAUGCUUAGAGUUAAGAUAUUUGGUGUGAAGUACAUGUAUUGUCUAAUGGAUGUCUACAAAGUUUGUUAAAAUUUUAUAUGGAGGGUCAGAAUUGGCCAUACCACAGGCGUCACUUCAUUUACAUAAAAUUAUGUUGGAAAAGUAUUCUAAACCAGAAGGCCCAGAUUUAAGCUAUUUUUUGCUUAGUAUUGUGAAGAUAACCUUUACCAAAUACCUUUGUCAAAAUUAGUCCUAACCUGGGUGUCCUGUUUGUGUAAAUAUAAAAUCUUUGAAAAAAAAUCUUGUUGGGAAUGUCAUUGCUUUGUGCUUAGAUAUUUUGUGAAAUUGUACAUGCCUCCCUGUCUUUUGAGAUAACGCCCUGGGUAAAAAACAGCCCCGGCCUAGGGUUCACUAUAUUGUUUUUAGAAAAAUUCUGUAUUGAGGCUUUGUUAGGACUAAUUUGAAGGGUCCUCCUCUUUGUUUGAAUAUGCAAAUUAUUAGUAACAUAAGACAAUCAAGAAAAUAUUUCACUGUUAUAUGCUCCUGGAGUUUUUUGUACACCUUGUUAAAUAUUAAGUUUAAUUUUCAUUUAAAGUGAAUUAGUUAAAAAAAGUUUUGAAAAAAACUAUAUAUAGUUUACUUUCAAAUCCAAUUUCCAUUUAUUUUGGAUGACUUUUUGCCAUUGAAUUAUUGAAUCACCUUUAGUUAAAGUUCUAGAUAAUUUUUGUUUAGAAGGCAUUAAAGUUUAAUUGUUGCCUUAUUUCUUUGUCAUAGAAUGGCAUCAGUUUGUUUUAGAAUUUUUGUUUUUAUACCCUAACCAAACAUAGUUUGGGGUGGGGACUAUAUAAAAAUCACUAUGUCUCGUCCUGUACCGCUGUCUCAAGUCCUAUUACAGGUAUUGAUUUAAAACAUCAGCACUCGAGUAUCUAUGUCAAGAUUCAGAACUCUGAUAGUUAGUUUGACAGAAUUCAGUAUCGCUUUAUAAACAACAGUGUUUUUUAAGAUUGAGAACACUUUUACGUAGUAUGACCAGUAGAAGACUUACACUUAGUUUGACCAGUAGAAGUAUUAACUUGACAUGAAAGAUAUAUCACAAUGUCACUGUCUUUGUCAAGUUUCAUAACUGAUAGUUAGUUUUACAUUAUGAUGCCCCUUAUCUUAAAAAAUAUCUCAAGAAUGUACAAAAGUGGCUAUAGCUGUAUUGUUUAUGAUGUGCCCAAAAGAAUUUCGAACAUGAAUGAAUUAAUUGUCUUCUUAUCUUGACACAACAUCCUUCAUGAUUAUGUCAAAUUAAAACUAAUUAAAGUGACCACAUUGUAAUUACUUCAAACAUGUUUAGAGAAAUGCACUUAUGCAAAUGCAGAUUAAUGUUUGUUGAAAGUCCAAAUACCUUUCCUAACAGUCCAUGCAAAUUUCACUUGAGCAUAUUGGUGGGGGUAUGAAUCGCAUUCAGCGAUAGCUCUAGUUUACUUUGUUUAUGGAAGGUUGUAAAAAGUCUUUAAUCACAUAGCCUCUCUAGCAUCAAUUUGAGCAGUAUUCAGUUCUCAAGGGUUAAGGGCAUUAAUAGACCAGAAAACAUUAAUAAUGAGAUGAGACACAAGUCAACUUUAAAAGAUUAUAAAGAUUCUGUAAAUGGACAACGUCUUGAGAGCAAUCACAACAGUUUGAUUGAACAAAUAGAAAAUCUCGUAUUGAUCUUAUAACUUUAAGCUUAUGCUAUAGUAACUUCAGAUAUGCUUCUGUUUAGUAAAUGCACAGUUGCAGGGGUAAUUGUCAUCUUCAAUGACUGUUCUUGUAAAUGCUUUUACAAGUAUUGAAGGGAUUUAGUUGAUAUACGUGUUUAUAGAGGUCAAGUAGAGAAAUGUAGUGUCAGAAAACUGUAAGUCUUUGAAACGUGCUUAUUAUCUCCUUUAAUUAAUUUUUUGGCUCCAACUUAAAAAAUGUCAAAGGUCAUUGUGACAUUGUUAAUUUCUAAGCUGAUACUGAAUUGAGAAGGAAUUAGUUAAAAUUUGUUAAACUUAUGUAAAGGCAUGGUCCAUGGCCAGUAGUUGGCCCCUAUUGUUAAUGAAGUCAUUAGAUCAAAGGUCAGGUUUACAGUGGCAAAUAUGCCAAUGUGACUGGCAGUUGUAAGUGGUAGGAUAAGUGUCAUAUGCGCCAUUGCUAUUUUAGGUUCUUUCGAGAAUAUUUUUUUAAAACGUUCAAUUCAAAACAAUCACUGAAAGUUCAGUAUUUAAGAAUCAACUUUGUCAUGUUUACAUCUGAACUCUAUUAUCAAUAUUUCAAAGUACUUGAAAAGAGCAGCAUAUCUAAAACGCAUUCAAACUAUUAUAUUGACAGAUGAUUUCAAUCAUAUAGAUGAUUUAAAUCAUAUAAUUAACUCCUUGCUCAUGUUUAUAGAAUGGAAACUACAGGCUUCAGUAUUGUUGUGUUGAUAUCAAAUGUAUUGUUAUUAUUCUUCUACAUUGUACUACUGACAUUGAGUAUUGCGGGUCAUAAUAUGUACAUGCUUUUGUGACAAAAAAAACAACAACAACAGAGUUGUGCUGUUAGUUUUCACAUGUUUAUUUCAAUUGUGUUUUGUUGCUUAAUAUUAAAAUGAAAUAAACUUAUAAAAAAC